UACGAAGGGGGCUAGCGUUGCUCGGAAUCACUGGGCGUAAAGCGCACGUAGGCGGAUUGUUAAGUCAGGGGUGAAAUCCUGGAGCUCAACUCCAGAACUGCCUUUGAUACUGGCGAUCUUGAGUCCGGGAGAGGUGAGUGGAACUGCGAGUGUAGAGGUGAAAUUCGUAGAUAUUCGCAAGAACACCGGUGGCGAAGGCGGCUCACUGGCCCGGUACUGACGCUGAGGUGCGAAAGCGUGGGGAGCAAACAGG
rnacentral:rRNA from 1 species